rnacentral:rRNA from 1 species
ACGGGGUGCAGCAGGCGCGAAAACUUCACACUGUGCGAAAGCACGAUGAGGGAAUCCCAAGUGCUUGCUCGUAAGAGUAAGCUGUUUCUCUGUCUAAAACGCAGAGAGAGUAAGAGCUGGGUAAGACGGGUGCCAGCCGCCGCGGUAAUACCUGCAGCUCAAGUGGUGGCCGCUAUUAUUGGGCCUAAAACGUCCGUAGCCGGUUUAGUAAAUGCCUGGGUAAAUCGUGUAGCUUAACUAUACGAAUUCCGGGUAGACUGCUAAACUUGAGACCGGGAGAAGCCAGAGGUACUCCUAGGGUAGAGGUGAAAUUCUGUAAUCCUAGGGGGACCACCAGUGGCGAAGGCGUCUAGCUAGAACGGGUCUGACGGUGAGGGACGAAACCCUGGGGCGCAAACCGGAUUAGAUACCCGGGUAGUCCAGGGCGUAAACGCUGCUUGCUUGAUGUUAGUUGGGCUCCGAGCCCAAUUAGUGUCGGAGAGAAGUUGUUAAGCAAGCUGCCUGGGAAGUACGGUCGCAAGGCUGAAACUUAAAGGAAUUGGCGGGGGAGCACAGCAACGGGUGGAGCGUGCGGUUUAAUUGGAUUCAACGCCGGAAAACUCACCGGAGGCGACGGUUACAUGAAGGCCAGGCUGAUGACCUUGCCUGAUUUUCCGAGAGGUGGUGCAUGGCCGCCGUCAGUUCGUACCGUAAGGCGUUCUGUUAAGUCAGACGACGAACGAGACCCUCAUCUUUAAUUGCUACUGGUAAGUCCGCUUAUCAGGCACAUUGAAGAAACCGCUGGCGAUA